GUAAGAUCCAGAAUCGUGAAUCUACAACAUGUUGCAUGAUCCGUGAAGGAGCUCGAUUUCAUAUGUCCCUAAAUGGCCACAUCAAAGGAAACUCAUCCACAAUACUCAAAAGGUGCCUAACUACAGGGGUCUCAGGGUCUGGACUGCUACCGGGCCCUUCCUUUUAGUAGGCCCUCUGCUGUUCAAGCAAAAUCAGAUUAUAAAGGAGCUUGUUUACAAGGCUGCAGUUCUUCUAAUAACCAUUAGGCUAAACUUGUAGUGACUGAAAAACAACCAGAAAAAAAGAAAACUGCAUAACAAGGGGCUCACGUGCGGCUGUGCUCAUAUGGAGGAGCCUCCACUGUAUACAGUAUGG